rnacentral:rRNA from 1 species
AGUGGCGCACGGGUGAGUAACGCGUGGGAACCUGCCCAAGAGCGGGGAACAACCAUUGGAAACGAUGGCUAAUACCGCAUACGCCCUCCGGGGGAAAGGCUUCGGCCACUCAUGGAUGGUCCCGCGUCUGAUUAGCUUGUUGGUAAGGUAACGGCUUACCAAGGCGACGAUCAGUAGCUGGUCUGAGAGGAUGAUCAGCCACACUGGGACUGAGACACGGCCCAGACUCCUACGGGGGGCAGCAGUGGGGAAUAUUGGACAAUGGGGGAAACCCUGAUCCAGCAGUGCCGCGUGAGUGAAGAAGGCCUUAGGGUUGUAAAACUCUUUCAACUGUGAAGAUGAUGACGGUAGCAGUAGAAGAAGCUCCGGCUAACUCCGUGCCAGCAGCCGCGGUAAUACGGAGGGAGCUAGCGUUGUUCGGAAUUACUGGGCGUAAAGAGCACGUAUGUGGCGAAGAUAGUCAGUGGUGAAAGGCCUGGGCUCAACCCACGAACUGCCAUUGAUACUGCUUUGCUAGAGUCCGGGAGAGGAUAGCGGAAUUUCCAGUGUAGAGGUGAAAUUCGUAGAUAUUGGAAAGAACACCAGUUGCGAACGCGGCUAUCUGGACCGGUACUGACACUGACGUGCGAAAGCGUGGGGAGCCGACAGAUUAGAUACCCUGAUAGUCCACGCCGA